ACAGGGUGUCACCAGUCUCCUGGGACCUCCACCUCCCGGGAUGGUCACCAUCUCCUGACCUCGUGAUCCGCCUGCCUCCGUCUCCCAAAGUGCUGGGAUUACAGGCCUGAGCCACCGCGCCCAGCCAGAUGGGCUCAAGGACAGCUUGCCUGAGGGCAGCCAUGAGGAUGAAGCCUCUUCAGGUAGAGAAGGACUCCAGGUGGGGCCUGUGCAGAGGGUUCUUACAGGGGCAGUAGAAUGGGGGUUAUAAAAUCAGUAAAUGGAAAAGGAGCUAGAUGCAGGUGC
rnacentral:antisense_RNA from 1 species